rnacentral:misc_RNA from 1 species
GAUGAAGAACGCAGCGAAAUGCGAUACGUAAUGUGAAUUGCAGAAUUCAGUGAAUCAUCGAGUCUUUGAACGCACAUUGCGCCCCCUGGUAUUCCGGGGGGCAUGCCUGUCCGAGCGUCAUUGCUGCCCUCAAGCACGGCUUGUGUGUUGGGCCUCCGUCCUCCUCCCGGGGGACGGGCCCGAAAGGCAGCGGCGGCACCACGUCCGGUCCUCGAGCGUAUGGGGCUUCGUCACCCGCUCUUGUAGGCCCGGCCGGCGCUUGCCGACACAUCAAUCUUUUUUCCAGGUUGACCUCGGAUCAGGUAGGGAUACCCGCUGAACUUAAGCAUAUCAAUAAGCGGAGGA